GUCCUAUGAUGAUGUCACUUGAAUAGAUAUGUGGACAGAGUUGGCAUCGGGCUUUGUUACAAGGAUAGGUUCCUGGAUCAGUGUUUUUGUUCAGUGAUGUGUGGUUGCUGGUUACUGAGUGGUGAUCACUGAGGUGGGAAGUAGUAGUCACCAUUCACAAAACCUCAUUUACCUGACACCCUGGGGGGACAUAAUCCUAUUUUAAAUACCAGGCCAGCUGGGAAAACUGAUGUUUGGGUAAUAGAUAACUGGAUCUAUAUUUCCAUGGUGGUGACAUAGAAGAGGAGGGAAGGAAAUAAUUUUGACAAUACAGAAUAUUAACUAUAAAGGACUAGCGAUGGCCUAACAAUGCAGGACGUGGCAGAUGAAUUGCCAGUUGGUGCCUUUGAAACUCUUGAUUUAUGCUGGUCAUUUUGGUAGAGUAAUUAACCAAAAGGUAGCAUAGUAUAAGUGUAUUCAUUAGGAACUUUCAUCUUAUUUUUCAGUCACAUUUCACUCCCUUUUGUGAUAUUUUCAUCCUUUUAUAGAGUCUGAGAUAAAAACUAGGGUAAGGUACAGUUAUCAAUAACUUCAGGGAUGUUGUAAAUAUCCCCAAUCCAAUCAUUACAAAUUUAGGAGAUUCAGAGCUCAAGUUACACUUAAAAGAAUUUCAAAUAUAAUAACGUAUGGAAAUGCAUAGUUAAAGCACCAAAACACCCUUAAUUUGAUCCUGCAGUGAUGUCAUAUAAUAAGAAUACAAUUGUGAUUAGUGCAUAAUAAAUCUUGUAGUCUCAGAUUUGAUUACAACUGGAUUUUAAAGACACAGUAAAGAUUCGUUUUGACAGGAGGUGUGCACAGUGUCACUACAGGGCAGAGUUAAGGGUGUUUGUGUGCAUUCCCAUGCUUCUAUAAGAUAAUUGAGGAGAGAAGCCCAAGCAAAAGUAGGGAGCAUGACAGUCUGUAGGAAGAAAUGAAGUAUAGGUGGGAUGGAACUGAUGGGGAGGAGGAGACAUGCAGAAGAAGAUGGAAAGCCAGUACAGAGAUGUGCUCAGAAGAUCGUCCUGUUAGUACUGUUUCAGUAACACUGGAAGGAGGAAGUGAGACUGUUACAAGUAGUGAGACCUGAUUGAGUUUUGAUUAUUUUUAUUUAUUUACUUAUUUACUUUUAAUAACUACUAAAGGAAGUAGAUUGACUUUCAUGCAGUUAGGGUAAAAUUCUGCCCUUUGAAAUGCAUAUAUCCCAUUUAUCAAUGGGAGCAGACAUGCAUCAAAGGGCAGAAUUUGGCUUAUUUUGUGAUUGGCAGUACAUGUGUAUAAAUCUUGUAUAUCUAUAGAAGUCCUAAUGUAGAUUUCGUUACAGGUGCAGUAUUUUUUUAUUCUUUAGGUUUAGUCUGUGCAUGAAACCCCUCAGUUAUAUACGUAUUUUCAGUCUCUGUUCUUUGAAAAACAGUCAAAGCUACAGAUUGUAUGAACUUUCAAUAUUCAUUUUUAUUUACUUCAAAAAUGUAACUGAUUUGCUUUGUGAUUGCUUUUCGGAGGGAAAUGAUGCAUUGUAAUCAAUUUAUUGUGUGCAAUUUAAAAUGUCAAGGACACUUUUGUUACUUAACUAGCAGCAAUUUUUCUAUAUGGGAUUUUGCUGUCUUUCUAUUUAUUUAUUUAUUUAUUUUAAAAGAUUUUCUAAUAUUGAAGUAAAACUAUUUAAAGGACUUGUUUCUAUGAGAAUUCUGGUCGAGCAUAUCUUAAUACAGUACAUGCUUGUUAUUGUCUUUUUUUUAAUUAACACUCAAUAAGACUUUAGGGGAUAAGUAAGAUAGAUAGCAGAGACUCUAUUUCUACUACUGUAUUUUAUAAUAAAGGUUUUUUCUUUAUGAUUUUUUUCUGUGCUAAGAUAUGACACACAGGCAAAUGUUUACUUGAUUGUCUUGAUAACUGACUGGGAAAGUUCUUUGGAGAUAUUAAAUAUUUGUUUGUAAUAAAAGUGGCAUCUGAGUGUAUAGUUCAAUUAGAAUUUCUUAGUAACAAAAUGUAGGAAGAUGCAAAUUGUUCCUAUGUACACAUUAAUUUGAUAAAAUGAACUUUUUAAAUUUUUGUUUCUGGAACUACAUGUGGAUUCUGUAGAUACUUAGGCCAAUCUUCACUGUUGGUUGAGUUUAUUUAAAGAGCUUUUCAAGUCACCUUUGAACCCAAACGAUUUCUCCAGAUGUACAGAAGUGAACAAUGUAAAAAUCUUGCUGCUUCAGCAGAACAAGAUCCAGCUGGCAGGGAACUGGAUCUGCAAGUCAUUGGUUACAGCUGUGUUUCGAUUUAUGUGAUGGUUGAAAAAAUAAAUUACCAGAUUAAAUGGUUAGAAAGAGGACUCUUUGUUUAGCCCUUGUGUGGGGACUGAAAGUGUUUAUGGUGCUGUUUUCUACACAGCCUUUGCAAAGUAAGCUGGACAAACAGACUUAUUCAAAACUCCUCAGAAAUGUUGCACAUUCAGCUUUAUAUCAUCACAGAAGAAACUGUAUGUUUUUGUGUAAUGCUGUCAACCAGCAACUGUUUUAAAGGUCUGUGGCCUCUGAUGGUGGCAGUCACAUUUCUGUCUUUUAGGCAUUGUAGUUUAUUAUUAGAAGACAGUGUUCUUUAGUUUAAUAGUUAAAUGCUUUAAAAUGGGUCUCUUAGCCUGCAUACAAAUACAUGCAGGCCACUGUCAAAUUCAUAAAUUGUUAAAAGGUUUAUUAUUCCAGUUUUGUAGAUCACUUACCUUUCACUUUGCAUAGUAAUGCUGAUGAAAUUGUAAAUCUGGCACGCAACAACUUAGAAAACUAGAUACAAUGAAAUCAGAAAUUAAAUGCCAACAGUUUGGACUAUUAAGUAUUUUCUUUUAAUGUUCUAACAAUUUAGAUGAAUAUGCUACUCAAUGCAGGGAUUAGGUUUUAUUGCACUAUAGCCCUGAGUCUGCAGAGACAUACAUGCUUGAUUUUAUGUACAGUGAGGAUUCCCAUUGACUUCAGUGAGAGUACUCAUGCUUAAAGUUAACCACAAGUCUUUGUAGGAUUGGGGAGGGAGGAAGAAGGGGUAUGCUUUGCUAAGAACUAUGCCCAUUUUAUGGUGCUAUAUUAGGGAGCAAUCCCAUGAGGCACUGGGAGCCCCCAACUGUCAUCAAAGGUAAUGUGAGUUGAGGGUGCUUAGCCUUUCACAUGAUUGGGCCUGAUAUUCUGGAGGUGACAUCCUCACUCCAUUGAAGUCAAUGGGAGUUUUAUCAUUGACUUGAAUGAUGACAGGCUUUUACCCUUGGAGUCAGAGUCUGAUGCCCUUACUCAGACUAACUAGUACCAUAUCCCACAAGUGAUUCCACUCAAGUAAAUGGAACUACUUGUGGAGUUAAAGUGCUACUUAGUGUGCAUAAGAGUAUCAGAAUCUGGCCAUUAAUAAUAAUAAAUUCAAAGCCUGCAUCUGAAGACCAGAUAAAUGUAAGAAAAGAUCAAUAACAUGCAACUUUCAGAGGUGAAAAAACAGGGAAGUAACUGUAAGAUUUUAAAGCUUUAGCCAGCUUGUGGUAUAGUAGUUUGCAAACCCAGAGACAUUUUCAGUGCUUUGUAUCUGUUUGUUCAGCAUGAUUUUCUAGCAAUAAUUUUAAGCAGACAAUUUAGUUUCAUUUUACAAUUAUAAAGCUGUCAGUGGCCAUGGAUUGAUAUCAGUUACAUUAUAUCUAUUAAGGCAUAUUUCUAAACAAAUGCACAGAUAAAUAUGGAAUAUGAUGGUUGUAAUUAUGUCAUAAUUGUUAUUCUAUCAAGAUUUAAUUACUUUCUUAAAUACGUUUUGCACAAAUCUUUUUCAAAGAGCUGUCAGUAUUCUUUAUGAAAUCCUACGCAAUGCUGACAGUAAGGGGAACUAAAUACCAGAACAAGAGUUCUGUUCCAAGUCAAAAAUGAAAUCAAAUAUGCUGGCCAAGUUCCACCAUAAACCACCCUCAGAAAUACCAGAAGCACACUUAAAAUGUUUAUAAUAGAAUAUUUCCCCCUUCCCGAUUUUCUUGUCCCCCAGCAGCAUUUUACAUUAAGAACCAUGCGACAGAAAGUCGUGGUGAUGCAGAAUAAAUAACCAUAAUGUAUCAAAAGCAGACAAAGGUGUGAUUGAUCUGUCUGGAAUUGGCAGACUCUUUCGCUGCAUCAGGCUGUUUCUUUGAUCAAUGAAGGUAUAGCCUCUGACCCUUACAAAAAUCAAUGCAAUUGAUUGAAAGGGAAGAGACAGGACUAUGAGAAUGCAAGAUAGUCUUUAACCUUCACUGUCUAGAAAGUUUUAAAUAUUUUUGCGUGCAUUUAACAGCUACAGUUUCCUAUUUUCGUUUUUAAAAGAUUUACAUUUCCUCAGCCCAGUUUUGAAAACUCCUGUAACAAAGUUCUGGAAAUAGUGUCACUUAUUGUGAAGGUAUGUCACAAAGGCAUAUCCUUUAAACAGCAUCGUUCAUGAAAGAUACACACUGCUGUGCAUCAGAUUUUUUUGUAUAAAUUCUAGCCCUGAUCUUGAGCAAACAGCCAUGCAGAUAGUCCAGUUAAUUUCACUGGGAGUGCAGCCUAAGUAAAGUUGCUCAGGUAUUUUGCAGGAUCAGGCCCGCUGAAUGUUGCAACUACAGGGUGAAAUUCCGGCAUGGGAAAGUGGGACCUCUGGCAAGAAACAGCGUCUUUAAACCCUUUCCUGAACGUCUGUCAAUAGAUACACAAUAUAGCUAUCCAGGAAUUAAAGAAAAGAGAAAUUUCAGAAAAUAUAUUUAGCUAAUAUUUUAAGACUAUAUGGGUCUCUGAAUCUUAUGGGAUUAGCAGACUGUAUCUCCAAAUAAAGCCUAUCAAAAAAUUUAAACUCAAACUUUUGCCCCAGUGAUCAUGUGUUUUAUUUACAGUCUGUGUUUUGUUUUACUCCCAGGCUAUUUCUUCAGAUUAGAGUAAAGCAGUAUUAUUAUGAAAUAAUUAAUAAAAUCAGACUAUAAUGUGCUCUUCAAUAGACAAAACAAACUAAUUCACUCAGUGUUUCAUGCUUUUGGACUUCUUGAAAAUGAAUAUAUAUAUAAAAUCUGUCUCACUGGUUAUUUUGUUUCACAAAUAAUUAAAAAUGAAAAGAUUUUUUUAAAAAUUGAAAAUAUCAAUAAAAUCAAAUGCCAUUUAAUAUGGAAGAAUAUACUUUCAAACUAAUUCAGACUGGAAUAAUUUGUGCUGUCACGUAUAUUAAUUUUAAUUAAGGACAGGUAAACUGAAAAGGCAGCAAAAGGAGGGUAAAGUAGUAGUUCCUAAGUAUGAAGAAUUCUUGCAAACUUGCACAGAAAGAGUUGGAAGGUCGCUAUUUCUGUGUAAGUUACUAUUUUUGUGAUUUUUUUUUAAUUCAGCUUCUGGUUGUACAGCUCCAUUUUAUGCAAUUAAAAUAAAAUACAUUAUGCUUAAGUGAGAAUUCUGAUCACAGUGAGGGGAAACAUUGUCAGUAAAAACAACAUUAAGGGUGGGUGUGAGGGGUUUGAAUCAAGGAAGCAACAGGAUAGAUUUUAUAUUUCCAGUUCAUCUGGAAUUUUUCUGAACUCUUUAUCUCCUUGCUGUUCAACAGGAAGAGAUUUCCUGAACAGCCAUACAAAGGUAUGACAUACUGGUCACUCUCAGCCUUACUCUUAAACACUCACUCGAACAAAAUGUAAAAGAGACACACUGAGAGGCUAAACCGUAAGCCUCCACUGCUACGAAACAACUCUGUGUUUUUAUAUCCCGCUUGAAGCGCACACAGAUUAUAACAAUUAAAACCUAGACACCACAGUCACACAUUUGAUAUCACUUACAUUUCCCCUUCCUUUUUAGGAAGAUAUAGUCCAAUUCCCCUGCAAUAGUAUCUCUUUCUUGUUGUCGUCCACCACCUCUUUCCUUUACAUUGUGUGUGUACAUAUACAUAUUACACACACAGAAAAAUCUCAUUAAUAUUAAAAAUCACAUUUAAUCUCAUUGUCUAAUCCUCCCUCCCCACUCCCAAAAAGAUAUCUCAUACACGAAGGUACUUUGACAUCUAACAUCCAUGUCCAGCCUCUCUGCUCAUCUUUCCCUGCCCUCACCCCAUAAGCAGUAGUUGCGGAGGCACCUCUUUUUUGUUUUUUUUUUGUUUUUUUGUUACUGCAACAAUGGCUGCUGCACUCGUUUUGCUCUUUAUAUACAGACUGCAUCUUUCCAUUGUGGAUGUGAAUGCUGUCCCCUUGUGGAUGAUGCUCGCAGUCUAAAAUGCUGCCUAUGUUGUACUGCGAAGUAAAGCUGAGCAGUGUGUCUGUGUGCCCUUCCUCCGGUUGAUUUUGGUGCCGAACGCAUCACAUUCCUUUUUAUCCCUAAAGGACAGUAGCCAGCUUCUUCCUGUGUCUUGUGCCACUGUCGAUAGAGCCCAUCCCUGUAAGGAUAUGAACCUGAGGUCUUUUUCCCCCCAAGACGUUAGUGGCCGUGUUGUCUUCAUGUCUAAAUCAAGGUAGAAACAAAGUAAUUCCUGGCUGAGGACUAAGUCCCUUGGAUCCCCGUCAAAAGGCAACUGUACUAAGCACUGAAUCAUUUUCUAGAAUGAAUCUUACUAAAAAGAAAUAGGCAAUUUUUUCCGUUUCUACGAAUGAAAUCAGUUGAAUCACUGAAUCAGACAAUUGAUCCCCAAUAACAAUAUGUUUUGUAUAAUGAUAUUGCAGAAAGUUUCCUUGAGCAUGCUCCAAAAAAUGUGAUCUCAUUUACAAGACGUAGCUCAAGAGUGCCAUACCCAUGCUCCUUCAGGUGUACUCCCCUGUAACAGCUUCCCUCGACUUCCUUGCCUAAACCUUUUGUAUCGAGACAGCCAUUGAGUGCUGCUAUCCCAUUCUCAUGCCUCACCCCUACCCUCCUAUCCAGCCCCAAAAUAUAGCGAGCACCAAAAUGUGUUCUAUUAACUAUGUCAGCACCUUAAGGUAUUGAGCAUAUUCUGUCAGAUGACACUCGUAGAGCUAUAUGGACUUAUGCUGCACAUCCUGCUUCUCCAACUGAAAACAGACCUGCAAUUAAAAGGUGUGGUUCUGGGUGGAAACAAAGGCAAUGCAUACAGAGAUUGAUGUUACUGUGAAUGUAAUGGGGAUUAUUUUAUUACUUUGAGUGUGCUGGUGGGAAUAUAGCAGUUUUAAGUAAUCUGGAGUUCUGGAUUUGUUUUGGUUCCCCCCACCCAACGUGUUAAAACUUGAACAAGAAAGAUAUACGACUUUUGCUAAGAUAUUUUUGAUAUAAAGCUUUCUGAUCUUUUCAGAAUUUGCAAAAAGAAAAACUCGUUCCAUUCAUGGAAUUUUUGUCUAUAAGCAGGAAAUGUUCAUCGUAAAAUGAGAGCUAAAAGACUCUGUUUCAGUGGCUGAGACUGACAGCUCUGUGUUUCUGCUGUUGCACGUGGGAGAAAACUGGAUGCAAAAUGUAAAAAGACAAGGGAGAUUUUGUGCAACUCCAAUAUGCAUAUAAAGCUGAACCGCUUCCUGAAGAGCAUUGAAUUUUCUAUACCAGAUUCUACUUCAGUGGCCAGGACCUUUAUGGCCACUGAUUCUUUUGCUCUGGGUUCUGAAAAAACAUCGUGGAUCCAUCCCUAAAGUAGAAAUGUUCUUUUCCAUCCCGCAAGCAAGGCUAAAGAUUGGAGGAGAAUGAAUGUGAAUCUAAUUCAGGAUUGCGGUCGUGCCAUUAAAAGUUUUCAGCUUCAGAACAAAAUGAUUUGGGAAAUAUGAUCAGUUUUCUUACUCUAUCAACAAUGUUUAAAAGUUGUAGGUGGUUCAAGUGACUUGACUCAAAUAACGACAAUCUUUGCAUGUCAAUAAUGGCUACAGUUUAAGGAGUGAAAGAUAGUUUUGAGUUUGGAAAAGAAGAAACUGUUAAUAUCAGCCUGUAAUGGGAUUAAAUGUUGAAUAUGGGGAAGAGGCAAAAAGCAAAUAGAUGCCCGAAAGUUAUCCUUGCACUGAGGAUGGGUUUAAAGUGCUGUAUAUCCUAGGGCCCACCUUACUGUAGAGGUAUAAUGGGGAAAUAUUUCAAUUAGAAACCCAUUAACAAGCAUUUAAUCCUUCUUUAAGGCAUUAGAGGAAAUAGAAUAAAACAUUUACUGUACAAAUCUGCUGCAAGCAGACUUUAACCCAUUUAUAGACUUAUCCUUCUGAUGUAUUGUAUACUAUGGCUACUCAUGAGUCAGAAUAGUAAAGAUUUUAUUUGUACUCCUUUUUUCCAAAGUUGUGGAAUCUGUUCUAAGAAGCGUCUUGAUCAAUCAGCUGAUAUUAUUGUUUUGAAUGUCUGUGUGUAUAUUGUCUACUUAUUUGAUCUUUUCCAACCCCUACUUGAAAAGGUGGGUUUUUUAUACAACAGCAACAAAAGUUUUACUGAAUGUAAUCUUGACGACUAAGUGAUUCAGAUUAUUUGAAGAAGAAUUCUACUGGAUCAUAUCGGACUUUUCCUAGUCCCUGAGACCCUAACUUGUGAGGUUUUUUAGCAACAAUCACAAGUCAGGCUCUUGGGACCUAGGCGGAGGGGAACCAGCAGCUUUGGACUUUAUUGAUUGUUUAUCUGCAAUAUUAACAGAACCAGAGGAGAUUUUCUUAUCUGGGGGGAAAUAUUUAUUUCAGAUGUUAAAUAUUAGUGUUAUGCUACAAAAAAAUUGCUGCUAUGUAUUGUACAAUAUAAAGAUUCUACAUAAUUUGUAUGUUUGGAAACCUAUAUUGUAGUGGAUAACAUGUAACAUUUCAAAUUAAAAUUUAAAACGAAUGACAGAUAUCUACAUAAAAAAAUCAAGUACUGAAGGAUAAAUGCACUGUUUUCAACCAUAAUUUGCUAUUAUGGAUCCUUCUGGUGGAUAAUAAAACAAAACACCUUUCCAAAUGUAUUGCUAUAAUAUUUAAUGAACUUUUUGAAACUUUACAAAUUAUAUAUUGAUCUGUGAGGCCUAGCAAAUGCAUUCAUACUGUUGUCUUUGGGGUAAUAAUCUGAGCAUGCAAGAAAACUGUUGCUUCUCUUUUCCUGUAAGGCAGUGCAGAGAUUCCUUUAUAGUUGUUACUAUUUCUCUUAGUCUAUAUAAUAAUACAAUACAGGUUCUCAUUUGGUGUAUUAACCUCUUACUCUGAAAGAAAAGAGAAAGCUGGUGUCAAAUUCAUAAUGCUGUGUUGAAGUCACUUUGCACACAGAACUACAUACUUUUCAUCUACUUACUGUAUCUCAGCAGAGAAGACCGGACACCAGGAAUUAGGCUCAAACUUUAGUCUCUUCCCUCACUUUUUACUUUUCACUUAUAAAAACAGACUAACUGUUGUGUUGUCCCCAUAUGCUGAAUACUUCAGUGACUUCAGCAUAAGAUUUACCAGGACACAGCUACUUUGUAAUGUCUAUCACUCCUAAAGUGCUGAACCAGAACACAGAACAUUUGACUGUAUUUCUUAAUAUUUUAUAAGUAGUUUGGUCCUGAUUAAUUUUUGUUUGUUUCCUGUAUCUAACCCAAGAUGGUGCAGCACCCUGUUAAUAGUGUACUAAUGUCACACUUCACUGAUUGAAACAAAGGCUUUACUUAGGGCAAGCAUCUAAACAAUUUGGUCAUUUUGAAAAUGAUAUUUUGGCUCCAGUUUAUUUUUUCCACGUAUGUGGGAGGAAUUGUGUUUUAUUGUAAUGCUAUUGUUAAAAUAAAUUAUUAUUAAACAGAAUAAUUCAAA